rnacentral:sRNA from 1 species
GACUUGGAGCAUCCAUCGAGAUCACUGCUAUGCUUGUUGUUCUUACUGCAGAGAGAGAGCUGUGAGCAUCGGAAACGGCACUCGUAUGGGCACCUGUUCGGCUGACAUCCACGGCUCAAUGGUUCCACAGUCCGAUAUGAGCAUCACACAGACUUCGGUUCAAGGUGGUGCAACAAUGAGCGAGCAUGUGGCUUGGUGCAGUAAUUAUGAGAUUUCAACUACGGGAUACCAGCUUUCCCACCGCGUCAACCACAGAUUUAGAAAGGAAGAGCGGGGAGCGGGGAAUGGACGGAAGAGGGAGCAUUCUCCAAUGAUGCUCGAAUACUUUGAUAAAGGAGCCACAUUAU